UGUAUGUUUAUACUACAUUGUGCCCAAAAUGGUAAAUAUCGGCAAUUACCGACCGAAAAGCACUUCAUGUGGAAACCGAAAAGCACUCAAUUUCUCGCUAUAUAUAUGAAUAUUUGCGUUUCUAUUGUGUGUAAACGGAUUAAAUUAGUUAUAAAUGGUUAUAUUUCAUGCAUAUUUAUACUACCUUGGGUUUAUUAUGAGGUAUUAAGCCCCAAAAUUGGAUAAAUAUCGGCAAUAUACCGACCGAAAAGCACUUCAUGUGAAGACCGAAAAGCACUCAAUUUCUCGCUAUAUAUAUGAAUAUUUGCGUUUCUAUUGUGUGUAAACGGUUUAAAUUAGUUAUAAAUGGUUAUAUUUCAUGCAUAUUUAUACUACCUUGUGUUUAUUAUGAGGUAUAAAUGCCCGAAAUUUUAUAAAUAUCGGCAAUAUACCGACCGAAAAGCACUUCAUGUGAAGACCGAAUAGCACUCAAUUUCUCGCUAUAUAUAUAUAAUAUUUGCGUUCCUAUUGUGUGUAAACGGUUUAAAUUAGUUAUAAAUGGUUAUAUUGCAUGCAUAUUUAUACUACCUUGUGUUUAUUAUGAGGUAUUAAUGCCCAAAAUUGGUUAAAUAUCGGCAAUAUACCGACCGAAAAGCACUCCCGCGACAGCAGAGAAUCACCGAAAAGCACUCAAGUUCUCUAUAUAUACAUGCAAGUUAACUAUAAGGGCCGAUUUUAAUGGAUUGAAAAGAUGUACAUAUUUAUUUAGUCAAUAAUGACUUCAUUAAAUAAAAAGUUUAAAUAUAAAGCUCAUUACUAUUUUUGGUGGCCACCGAAAAGCA